rnacentral:rRNA from 1 species
UUUUUGAAUUAAUAAUUUAAAGUCUAAUCUGCCCACUGAUAAUUAAUUAAAGGGCUGCAGUAUUUUGACUGUACAAAGGUAGCAUAAUCAUUAGUCUCUUAAUUGGUGACUUGUAUGAAAGAUUUGAUGAAAUAUGAACUGUCUCUUUAUAAUUUUUAGAAUUUAAUUUUUUAGUUAAAAAGCUAAAAUAUAUUUAAAAGACGAGAAGACCCUAUAGAGUUUAAUAUUUAAUUUAUAUAAAAAAUUUUUUAUAAAAUUUAUAAUUUUAAUAUAUUUAAAUAUUUUGUUGGGGUGACAAAAAAAUUAAAAUAACUUUUUUUAUAAUUUUACAUUAAUAAAUGAAUAAAUGAUCCGUAAUUUACGAUUAUAAGAAAAAAUUACCUUAGGGAUAACAGCGUAAUUUUUUUUUUUAGUUCAAAUAAGAAAAAAAGUUUGCGACCUCGAUGUUGGAUUAAGAUAAAAUUUAAAUGCAAAAGUUUAAAAUUUUUGAUCUGUUCGAUCAUUAAAAUCUUACA